CAGGGGGCUGCACUACCACCUGCCAGUACUGUUUGACUACUUCCACCUGUCAGCUGUCAGCCUGACAGUCCACUGCUGUCUGGUGGCCCUCCAUCAGCCUUAUAUCAAUGGUGGUGGUCGUAGCAGCAAGUCGUCGUCGUCGUGGAGUUCACCCAGACUGUCUACCAGAACACAACAGUCUAACAUGGAGACUAUCUUCUUCAGUACUAUUAACAACACCAUCAAAUGUGGCGGUGGUGGUGGUGGUGGUGGCAGCGGUGCAUCAUGGCGGCUAGCACAGGCACGUGCAACCCACCGCACCAUCUGCACGUUGCUCCUGGCAGCACACACGGCGCUGGGCGCACAGCUGGAGACGGUCAUGGCGAUCCUGCCCCAUGGGGUCGCAAGUAGUGCUA